rnacentral:rRNA from 1 species
GGAGUCUGGGCCGUGUCUCAGUCCCAAUGUGGCCGUCCGCCCUCUCAGGCCGGCUACCGAUCGUCGCUUUGGUGGGCCGUUACCCCGCCAACUGGCUAAUCGGACGCGGGUCCAUCUCAUACCACCGGAGUUUUUCACACUGUGCCAUGCAGCACCGUGCGCUUAUGCGGUAUUACCAGUCGUUUCCAACUGCUAUCCCCCUGUAUGAGGCAGGUUACCCACGCGUUACUCACCCGUCCGCCACUAAGUUUUAACAAUCCUCUGCCGAAGCUUCGGAAGCGUUAAAACCCCGUUCGACUUGCAUGUGUUAGGCACGCCGCCAGCGUUCAUC